AAUGAACGCUGGCGGUAGGCCUAACACAUGCAAGUCGAACGGCAGCACAGUAAGAGCUUGCUCUUACGGGUGGCGAGUGGCGGACGGGUGAGGAAUACAUCGGAAUCUACUUUUUCGUGGGGGAUAACGUAGGGAAACUUACGCUAAUACCGCAUACGACCUACGGGUGAAAGCAGGGGAUCUUCGGACCUUGCGCGAGUGAAUGAGCCGAUGUCGGAUUAGCUAGUUGGCGGGGUAAAGGCCCACCAAGGCGACGAUCCGUAGCUGGUCUGAGAGGAUGAUCAGCCACACUGGAACUGAGACACGGUCCAGACUCCUACGGGAGGCAGCAGUGGGGAAUAUUGGACAAUGGGCGCAAGCCUGAUCCAGCCAUACCGCGUGGGUGAAGAAGGCCUUCGGGUUGUAAAGCCAUUUUGUUGGGAAAGAAAAGCAGCAGGUUAAUACCCCGCUGUUCUGACGGUACCCAAAGAAUAAGCACCGGCUAACUUCGUG
rnacentral:rRNA from 1 species